UACGGGGUGCAGCAGGCGCGAAAACUUUACAAUGCGGGAAACCGUGAUAAGGGAACUCCGAGUGUCCGUAAAUGCGGACUGUCCAUCUGUUUAAAAAGCAGGUGAGGAAAGGGCCGGGCAAGACCGGUGCCAGCCGCCGCGGUAAUACCGGCGGCUCGAGUGGUGGCCACUAUUACUGGGCUUAAAGCGUUCGUAGCUGGGUCGUUAAGUCUCUUGGGAAAUCUACCGGCUUAACCGAUAGGCGUCCAAGGGAUACUGGCGAUCUAGGGACCGGGAGAGGUGAGGGGUACUUCAGGGGUAGGAGUGAAAUCCUGUAAUCCUUGGGGGACCACCUGUGGCGAAGGCGCCUCACCAGAACGGCUCCGACAGUGAGGGACGAAAGCUGGGGGAGCAAACCGGAUUAGAUACCCGGGUAGUCCCGGCCGUAAACGAUGCGCGUUAGGUGUAUCGAUGACCACGAGUCAUCGAGGUGCCGAGGGGAAACCGUGAGACGCGCCGCCUGGGAAGUACGGUCGCAAGGCUGAAACUUAAAGGAAUUGGCGGGGGAGCACCACAACAGGUGGAGCCUGCGGUUUAAUCGGACUCAACGCCGGAAAUCUCACCGGAUAAGACAGCUGAAUGAUAGUCGGGCUGAAGACUCUACUUGACUAGCUGAGAGGUGGUGCAUGG
rnacentral:rRNA from 1 species